rnacentral:rRNA from 1 species
UGAGGAAUUUUGCGCAAUGGGGGCAACCCUGACGCAGCAACGCCGCGUGAGUGAAGAAGGCCUUUGGGUCGUAAAGCUCUGUCAACAGGGAAGAAGUUACAAUUGUUUAAUAGAUGGUUGUAUUGACGGUACCUGUGGAGGAAGCGCCGGCUAACUCCGUGCCAGCAGCCGCGGUAAUACGGGGGGCGCAAGCGUUAUUCGGAAUUAUUGGGCGUAAAGGGCGCGCAGGCGGUCUUGUCCGUCAGGUGUGAAAGCUCGGGGCUCAACCCCGGAAGUGCACUUGAAACAGCAAGACUUGAAUACGGGAGAGGAAAGCGGAAUUCCUGGUGUAGAGGUGAAAUUCGUAGAUAUCAGGAGGAACACCGAUGGCGAAGGCAGCUUUCUGGACCGAUAUUGACGCUGAGGCGCGAAGGCGUGGGUAGCAAACGGG